rfam:Bacteroides luti strain DSM 26991 genome assembly, contig: Ga0131163_105
UCUUCGAUAGCUCAGUCGGUUAGAGCAUCUGACUGUUAAUCAGAGGGUCGUAGGUUCAAGUCCUACUCGAAGAG